GACAUAAACUAUUUUAGACGCAAUCAAGGAAGAAUCGCCCAUCAUGUGGAAUUGAGCGGCAGUUUUAAAUGUACUAAGAGAAGACUGGUCUCGAAAAAAAAAAAAAAACAUUUUUUUCCCCUUCUUUUUUUGGAGACGCCUAAAGGAGCCUGUUUGUGUGCUGUGUGGCCACGUUCUGCUGUGACUGGAUCUUGUCUUCUGCCUGGCUCCUCGAUUUCCGUCCGGCUGGAUUUGGGGACAACACUGCCUGGCGCAGACAGAUCAAAUGACACUUCAAAGAAGCAUAAAAUGAACAGACUAUUCAAACAAAGGUAAUUUACAUUUUUUUAUUUGAUAAAACCUGACUGAUGUACAAAACGAAAAUAGAAUAUUGUUUACUGGAAAACAGGUCUACAAUCUCUCACACAUCUUCUCUUGCAACAGAUAGAAUUCCAGAAACAUCUAAGUUCCUCUGUGUACAGUUAUUUCUCCUGUAGGAGCCUUUGUAUGGAUGUAAUACACACAUAUAUGUAUAUGCAUAGAGCAUGACAUAAAUAAAACCUGCAAUAGCCUAUAAGAAAGAAGCUCCUAUUUAGAGGAAAGGGUAAGAUACUUUUAUUAUAAUGAAAGCCAGUUCACUUCAUCACUUGGACCAUGGACACUAAUGUAAAUAAAAUGGCUUAAAAAAUAAGACAAUAGUAGUAUUGACUGUAGACUACAAUUUGCACAUUUGUAAUUCUUAUAAAUGAAAUAUUUAAAAUGAUUUGGUGUUGGGCCAGUUCCUUAUGCAUUCUGCAUUCAUGUGUAUAGGAUUCAAAGACGUUCCAAAUAUUGAUCAUAAACCAAGUGUAUAUGAAUUAAUUAAAUAGCAUAUUUCUGGCCCAAAUAUGAGGAAAACCAUAACUUUUUACUGUAAAUCAGGAGAGAUUGUUUUAUCCCCAAAUAAACUAGGAUGUUUCAAGUCAUGUUUCAGCAAUUUGGAGACCUACAAACUAUCUGCAAGCAAGCACAACAACCAUACUCUAAUCUACUAGAUACUAGUGAGAAUUUAGUGCUUGAAUUCAGGCUGCUUGAAUUCAGUAUAUCCUUCUCUAUGCUGAUUUUCAAGUAGAUAUUCUGUAGCUCAGCUAGAUAAUCUUUUAAAAGC
ensembl:lincRNA